UUAUUUAUUUUUUUGACAGCCCUUCUUCCCUUGGCUUCUUAACAAUUUCCUGAUAUCUAUGGGUGUUUCAACUGGAACACAUAUGUCUGAAGGUUCUAAAGCCAACACCACAAAUGAGAGAACACAUAGGACACUUGCUUUCUGGGUCUUGGCUAUCUCAGAGUGACUGCUUCCAGAUCCAUGAAUUCACCUGUAAAUAUCCGUUACUACUUACUCCGUUUCCAAUGUAUUGUUAUUUGGAAUAUCUGUUCAUAAAACUUUGAAUAUUUAAUGUCUUAUAAUAUGUAGCACAGAUUUCCUUACAUGGAAAUAUCAUCUUGAUUUGUUUUUAACAUAUUUUAAGGUGAAUAUUUCACAACAUGUAUUGUAUAAUUGGGCAGAUUUCAUUAUGAUCAUCAUCAAUUCUUUUCUGCUGUGUUGAUUACUUUUCUGUUGCUGUGAUAAGACACAGUGACCAAGGCCCCAUAUAGAAGUGUAUUUGGGUAUAUGAUGUCCGAGGAUUAGAGUUGAUAAUGGCAGGGAGUGUGGCAGACAGCAGGUGUGAUGGUAGGAUCAGGAAGCUGAGAUCUCUCAUCUUGAACCACAAACAUGAGAGUGUGGGUCUUUUUUUUCCACGUGGAGAGGUUUAAUGGGAGGAGAGUAGAAUAGAGGCCGGCCAUGAGCACGUGGAGGAAAGGGAGGUGGGGUGGGAGAGAAGGGACAGGGACAAAGAGGGCAGGAGAGCGGGAGUAUAUAGUGUCAGGCACAGCUGGCUGUUGCCAGGCAACUGUGGGGCGGAGCAUACCCGGCUGUUGCCAGGUAGCUGUGGGGGUGGAGCUUAGACAGAAUACCAACAUUCUCCAGUUUUGGUUUAAUUAAAAAGGAAAAAUUAGCGGCGAUGGUGAAGCAUGAAUAGGGUCGUUGUGAUCUCUGACUAGGGUCUUUAAAUUCUUAAAUCUUGUCUCCAGGUGACAUACGUCUUCCAGUAAGGCCACACACAGCUCCUAAAUCUCCUUAAGCACUAUCACUUAUUGUCCAAGACUGUGAGUGGUAAUUUUAAUAUAAUUGUACGUAGUAAAUCAACACAGCAGCCAGUUCCCCAAUGAUGACACAGAGGGACCAAAAUUUAUUUUCAAGCUUCUCCUUAAUACCCGAGCAGUCAAUUAUCUGUUUUAAUCCCCAUAAUACUUGCAUUUAGGGCCUUUCAUGCUCCAGCUGAGCUCUCGUGUUGUCUCCUCCUUCCUCAACUUGUCUUCCACUUCUCUCGCCACCUCCUGACUGAUGAAAUCUCCACCGGGGAAGUGUCUGAUGACAUUGGCCAGGUUACCACACCAGAAGGAUAGGACUCCCUGUUCCUUGGGGAUGCGAACCACUCAGUCUGUGAUGCCCUUGUAUUGCCUGUCUGCUGUGAUUUGCUUGCUGGCGUGCUGCACGUGCAGCAGCAGCUUGACCUGCUCAAUGGGUGCUACCGUCACCUUGGAGACCGCCGCGGCCACUCAACCGGCCAAGAAGUCCUUAGCUAAGGACACAGCGGCAUCUGUCAUGUUGAAAGCAAAAAAGAAGAGGCAGGCAAAUGUGAGACAGGACUGGGUUGACAGCCGGCUUUGAUUCCUGUACUCUGGGGGUUAGGGGGAGUGAUCAGCUUUUAUUAACAAGGCAGAGAAUAAAUGGUAAGAAUUGUUUACACAAACUUGAGACAGGAGAUUCUUGACCUAAGCUUUACGAUGCAGUGUCCGGAUUGAAGCAAGGUAUGAGGGAGAGAAGUCAGCAUUUGAAUAACAUAAGAAUAAUCUUUGAAAGAUGCCCCAAAACAUUACGCCUAUACAAGACUAAGAGGGACAUUCUCAUUCAAACCACCACAUCCCUUCUCUGUCUCCUUUGUCUCUCCAUAUAUCACCAAGGUACUCCUUCUAAUCUCAGGCUAUUUUUAUCCGGAUUAAUAUUUUGGAUUGGUUUAUGGUUGCAAAUUCAACAUAGGUAAAAUUUGAAAUGUUGUGAUUAUAACAUUGCCAGGAUUUGUGUGUGCACAUGCAUUUGUUAGCAAAGAAAAAUAUAUAUGUUAAUAAAGCAUUCAUUAAAAAAGAGGAAGGAAGAAAAAGAACAAGUCAUUUCUUUAACACCUAUCUCCUCUUGUUUACUUAUGUAUGGGACAAUGUUAGCCUGGGUCUGGGAUUCAUAAACACUUUAAAAAAAAGAUUUAUUUAUUUACUUUAUGUACAUGAGGACACUGUAGCUCUCUUCAGACACCAGAAGAGGGCAUCAGAUCCCUUUACAGAUGGUCCUGAGCCUUCAUGUGGUUGAACUCAGGACCUCUGGAAGAGCGGUCAGUGCCCUUAACCACUGAGCCAUCUCUCCAGCCCCAUAAACAAGUUUUUAGUAGUUAUUAGUUUAGAUUUAGAUCAAAUGGGGCAGAUAAUACGCUUACAUUUCCCUGCAUACUGGGAAACAAUGGUAGGAUCCAGUGUUUAUAUCUGCACGUGUCUGUGCAUGUGUUUGUUUUUUUCUUGUUGUUCUGAACUUCUUUUCUGAGGAAAAUGGGGAAAAUAACUCAUGUGUUUUAGAUCUGUAAGGCUAACCAGCAGAUCACUAUUUCUAUGAUUGUCUCAAUCCCAAAUGUGGCAGCUGUUAAGCCAGAUUAGCUCAGACUUUGGAAAGCCCCUAAAUAUGCUCUUUUUUGCCCACCUCUCUGUUUGACCUAACUUCCUUGUGGCUACCAGGUAAAGGAAAAUACAGAUCACUUAUUUUCUACCAACUGAAAUGCCAACAAUGUCCUCACACACCUGAGGCCCUGCUUUGACAUAGGAUAGAUUUGAACUUAGAGCCCUACAGAUGUUAGGCUAGCUCUCUGCCAUUGAAUUGUAGCUCUAAUAGGAUUUUUUUUGAAAUAACCAUUACUCUUUUCAUUACAUUCCUCUUCCCUAAAACUGUCUUUCAGGUUUUCUUAGAGUUGUUUGUGUGAUUUGCUCCGUAACUAUUUUGAUUACCCAUGCAAGGAAGCUGCUAGGUAAUUUGUCUGGGCUAUGAGAUUCCUUCAAAAGCUCGCUCUCUCUCUCUCUCUCUCUCUCUCUCUCUCUCUCUGUCUGUCUUUUACUGUCUCUAUUCACUUUAAAGACACCAGACAUUUUCUGUACUGAAUUGCUGUCUCCUCCUCUAAACUCCCACACAGCACAGACAUUGUAACCACAGGGGAUUUUAUGUGACCAGACAUGCUGUGCAGCCACUGACUGAACACAUCCUGCUAAGGAGCUGUUUCAGCUACAGCUGCUCUUCUGAGCUGCAAAGACCCUUUCUAAGCUGAGAGAGAUCACCAUGUCUAGGCUCUGUAAUGGUGGGAUCCAGCCUCACAUAUGGAAAGUCUAUUCUCUCUGGCUUUAUGAUGUGUAUACCACUAAUAUCCAGAAUUUUAGUGAGGCAGUCAUUUGUUCUUGCUUGUUAAUAGCACUCCCUGUGUGAGGUUUACAUACAAAUCAUCUGAACAAUCACUGGGACCCUAUAACACGGUCACUGUCAUUGAUCCAACUCUGUUUACCCAUCCUUACCUCACCGGAUAGAGUCUUCUUGGUGAUAGUACCUAUCUCUAGGUUUCUGUCUUGUCAGUCUGUAUGAAUUUCUAUAAAUACGUUAGUGAGAGUGAUCAGUACACAUCUGGGAUCUCCAGAACGUAUGGGCUCGUAGAUGGGUUCAUGAGGUUUAGGAGUUACAGAACCUCACAGAAGGAAAAAGAACGCUUGGCCAAGAGGGAUUCCUAACAGAAGUGAUCGCACAAGCAGGCACCUGGAGAUGCGAAGAGAGGACACGACAGAUAAAUAGUUUUUCAGGCAGGAAACAGCUCCCAGCAAAACCAACUGUGGAGUAAAGAGUUUAAGAAAUGAAGACACAGUUGGGGAUUUAGCUCAGUGGUAGAGCGCUUGCCUAGCAAGCACAAGGCCCUGGGUUCGGUCCCCAGCUCCGAAAAAAAGAAAAGGAAAAAAAAAAAAAGAAAUGAAGACACAGGUUUUACAGUUUUGAUGGUGAAUAAGAAUGCUUUCCACAUGUAAUACAAGUCUAUGAAUAAUUAUUUUUUUUGCCAAUCACACAUCUCAGAAUAUCGUUUCAGUGUGGAUUAAAAAUAAUCAUUAACAAUGGACAGUGUUAUUUGCAAGUGGAACUAAAAAAAAGAAGAUUUUGUUGAAAACUUAUGCCCAUGAGGUAGACAUUUCUGGUUUAUAUUACAAUAAAAUUUAUUGUAAUAUUAGUCUUUUUAAAAAUGUGCAUACCGUAGGAGAAAAUUUUAAAAUUUUUGAUGUUUUCUUUAUAUUUAGACACUUCUGGUUUAUAUUAUUAUAAAAUUUAUUAUAAUACUAGUCUUUUAAAAACUUGCACAUACCUUAGGAGAAAAUCGUAAAACUUUUGAUGUUUUCUUCAUACUUAAUGAUAGUUUAAUUUUUGUUCAAAUCUAAGCAGACUUUUAAGUAUGAAAAUACCACAGAGUGAAAAAUCUGCUAUUCAGGGUUCUCUAAAGGAAAGGGACUGAUAGACUGGAUAUCUACAUAUUAAAAGACGAUUUAUUAGAGUAGCUUACAGGUGGUGGACUUCAGCCAAGACCCUAUUAAUCACUUAACUUCCAUAAAUCCCCACUGUAACCUGAGUGCUACAAUGUUUCCCAUCUGAGCCCUCUAACAUAGACAUGGAACUACAGGUUUUGGAAUUUGCCCUGUGGGUUUUGGUCUUGAUUUGGUCCAGCUUUUCCUCACUAUGUUGUAAUUUCUCCCCCUUUGGAAUGGAAAUAUGUAGUUGUUGCUAUGGCAAUUUGGAAGUACAUAAUUUGCUCUGAUUUUACAGGGAGUUACAAUUAAGAUAUUGCUUCAAGUUUCAGAAGAGACUUUGAACGUCAGACCUUUAAGCUAUGAUAAGACUGAAAUACUAUGGGGACAUUUGAAGUUGAACUGAAUGCAGUUUGCAUUAUGAUAAUGGCCAUGAGCCUUUGGAAGCCAGGGAGUGUAAUGUGGUGGUUUGAAUGAAAAUGGCUCCCAGAGGCUCAUGUUUGAAUACUUGGUCCCCAGUUGGUAGAACUGUCUGGGAAGGAUUAAGGUGCGGUCUUGUUGGAGGAGGAGUGUCACUAGAGGUGGACCAUUGAGGUUUCAAAAGAUUCAUCAUGUCAUUCUCAGUGGGCAUCUGGUUUCCUGCCUGCUGUUUGAGAUGUGAGCUCUCAGGUGUGUAUGCUGCCUUGUCUUCGCCCCAGCGUCAUGGACUCUAACCCUCUGAAACUGAGAAAAAUGGGCCAGAGUCAGUGGGAUCUGCAGUCCGCUAUCAUGCCGGAAGAUGAGGCCAGCAGGAAGCUAACGAAGCAAUGUUACUCCAGGGGAAUCACAAGGUAUCUCAAAUGGGUCAUAGACCAAGUAUAUAGUAUCCUUGGGAUUGAUAAUUCCAGUCUCUUCAGGGGGAAAAGCCAUGUUCUCAGGAAGAAAAACCUUGACCCUUCUAAAGGGGUCAGCUUCAGCCUCAGUUCCAGACAAGACCUUGACAAAUCUGUCCUGGGCAAGGACACAGAAGUACAUUUCUCCUCACCUUCUCUCAUCAGGGCCUCUGAGAAAGUUUACCUUCUCUUGGUUUCUGUUAGGUCAGUAGUUCUCAAUCUAUGGGUCGCGACCCCCUUUCAGGGGUCAAAUGAUUCUUUCAU